GGUUGCAAGAUGGCGCCAUUGCACUCCAACCUGGGCAACAGAGUGAGACUCUGUCUCAAAAACAAAAAACAAAGUGCCAACCUCUGAGCUGUCCCCUCCUGGCCUGCCUUGUUCCUGGGCUCACUGGGGUCCUUCACUCUGUGGCAUUGGCCUCAGCCAGCACCAAGGCUGAAAGAGCCCAUUCAGAGGCCAGAAAGAAACUGUUAGGCUCGGAAACUGUGGGCCAGGCCAAGACGGAGAGAUUCUGAGGCAUGGUUCUGGAAUGGGUUUUUCCGCCUACAGGCACUCAAGGACGACGGCAUUGGGAGAUGGCUGGGUGGAGAGUCUGCGGGAGGCUGCAAAGCGAAAAUCCCCCACUUCCCCCAGGCUCCUUCACAGUUGGUGUGUCCUCAUAGAGCAAGCAAGUUCUGCGAACCUGAUUCAAUCAUCUGAGGUUCUUCCCAGAAAAAUUAUAGUGGGAACUCUGGCUUUGAUGAAGCUGCUUUUAUUUCAAAGCAGUUUGCAGGAAAAAAAAAAAAAAAAAAAACCGGGGACUCAAAAAACAAUCUGGAUGAAACGGUUUUUGCCGUUCCGACUGGUUCUCUUCCAGCGUGUCUUCCCUUCCAGUAGGUUUCCAGGAAAUUUUGGUUUCAAAAUGUUGGGACACAGAUUUGCAAAGUGGAUUUCGACGUGUCGGGUUUCAAAAGGGGCCGGCUCUGAAAGUGGUCUGGGCUUCUAAAAGGUUUGAUUGAAAACUGGUUUGGUUCUCAGACAUUCCAGAAGCUUCUCCCGGAGUCCAGAGCCCCCCAAUGGUGCUUUGGGAAGGGGACCAGGCAGGGCGUCCUGGUGAGUGGACGCAGGGUGGGCAGGGCCACCCUUGCCCUGGGAGGUUGAGGCCUGGCUCUGGGUGGGUAUUUUGUGUCUUCAGAAAUCAGCUCCUGUGGGAUAUUUCUCCUCCAGCCAACCCUGACCCCCAGGACAUUUGAGAAAAGGGUGCUUGUCUCUUGGUGAGAGGGCCACGGUUCCUUCAGUUUCCCCAUUCCUACGAGCCCCUUUCUUUUUCCUUUUCGAGGCGGAAUCUCACUGUGUCGCCCAGGCUCACUGCAACCUACGCCUCCCGGGUUCAAGUGAUUCUCCUGCUUCAGCCUCCCGAAUAUCUGGGGUUACAGGAAAUUGCAGCAACCACAGGAGACCUGCUGGCAGCCCUCGCCACAUCCUCCCUCCACCUGCUCUGAGUCUGCACUCUGCCCUUCCACUGCCAUGAGGAAAGGACUGCUCCUACCUGCCACAGACCCCCAUUUUGCAUGCGUCACAGGAGCCUGUGGACAAACCCUGCCACCCAGGCCCCUUCCUGUUGU